GACGAACGCUGGCGGCGUGCCUAAUACAUGCAAGUCGAACGAGAGCGACCGGUGCUUGCACUGGUCAAUCUAGUGGCGAACGGGUGAGUAACACGUGGGUAACCUGCCCAUCAGAGGGGGAUAACAUCCGGAAACGGAUGCUAAAACCGCAUAGGUCUUCGAACCGCAUGGUUUGGAGAGGAAAAGAGGCGCAAGCUUCUGCUGAUGGAUGGACCCGCGGUGCAUUAGCUAGUUGGUGAGGUAACGGCUCACCAAGGCCGUGAUGCAUAGCCGACCUGAGAGGGUGAUCGGCCACAUUGGGACUGAGACACGGCCCAAACUCCUACGGGAGGCAGCAGUAGGGAAUCUUCCGCAAUGGACGCAAGUCUGACGGAGCAACGCCGCGUGAGUGAAGAAGGUUUUCGGAUCGUAAAACUCUGUUGUUAGAGAAAGAAACAAAGUGCUAGAGUAAACUGUUAAG
rnacentral:rRNA from 1 species